AGUGACAGUAGCCUUAUUCUCUCCACUGGACAUGUGAGAUCACGGAGGCUCAGAAAGGUGCAAUGAUCUGCCCAGGGCCCCACAGAGUGGCUGAGCCAGGAUUUGAACCCAGGCCUGAACUCACUCUGACCCUGCAUACUUCCCAGCACAGGGUGCUGCCUUCUUGGGUCUCUGGAGGACAUUGCUCCUCGGGGGUGUGUCUUGGUGUGCACCUGAUCAGGCUGCCGAGGUGGCCACCAGGAAUUCCUGCUCCUUUUCCCUGUCUUUGGCAACCCGCCAGCAGGCGCUGCCAGGCUGAGGGAAACUGGUUCCACUUUGGUGAUUUGCUUUGAUGCUCAGAUGAAAGAGGCCAUGUUGACGGGCACUGCUUUGGCUCUCAAGCCUGUGCCCAUGCCUGGAGGGCCCAUCCUUGGUGCCCUCCUGCCCAGCUAGAAGAAAUAGCUGCCCUUGUUUCUGGCAGCAAGUCUGGGCUGAAACCUAAAUGUGUUUUCAAGGCCGCAGGGUCCUUUGCCACCCCUGGAAUACUCAUUGCUUGCCUGGCCCCCUGCUGGCUCCUCAAAACAUCCUGUAAGGAGGGAUUGCUAGCUCACUGCUCAGAUGAGGAAACUGAGGCUCAGAGAAG
rnacentral:lncRNA from 1 species